AAACUUCAGGUUGUAUUUAAAGGGUCACACUGGGACAGCAGGAAAACAGAGCAGCCUGAUCUUACAUGGUGCUGAUUUCAGCACUAAAGAUGCAGAUAAUGACAACUGUAUGUGCAAAUGUGCCCUCAUGCUAACAGGAGGCUGGUGGUUUGAUGCUUGUGGCCCCUCCAAUCUAAAUGGAAUGUUCUACACUGCUGGACAAAACCACGGAAAACUGAACGGGAUAAAGUGGCACUACUUCAAAGGGCCCAGUUACUCCUUACGUUCCACAACGAUGAUGAUUCGACCUUUGGACUUUUGAAGGCAUAAUGUCAGAAGCAGUAAUAAAAGCAACAGAGAAAUCUGAAGAAGCUACCAGACAAGAAACUGCUUGAAAACUUCUGAAGCAAACGAUAGUGUCUCCCUUCCAGCUACAAGUGGCAGUUAUGUGAAGUCACCAAGGUUCUUGACUGUGGAUUUGGAGCCUUUUGAGUUCACAAGAGUCUCCUGAUGGGGUUAACCGUGUUCAUAUGGCUUGACUAUGGAGAAUGCCACUCACUAUCAUGUUUUAAAAAGGGAAGAAACUGUUCAGUUCACUGUGCUUCAAACUACUACUGGAUCUUAUUUUAGAACUAUGGUAGCCAGAUGACAAAUAUGGUUUAUUUCAUGUGAAAACUGAGAAGAAGGAGGAGGAGGAGGAAAUGAACAACAAAAAAAGAAAAAUAUACAUGAAGAAUACAAACAGGCCUGCCAUAAUCCUUUGGAAAAGAUAUAUCACACCAGUGAAAUGGUGUUAUUUCUAUGCAAACCUACUAAAAAUCAGUUUAUACUGUUGCACAAUUUUAAUAAAAGUUUAGGAAGAAUAAGCAUUGCCCUCUAAGUUGGUUAAGUGUUAAUGGAUUCCAGAAGCCUAACUCUUUAAUCAUACUUACUAAUUGAUUUCAGUUAACCCAUCUUCAAAUGUAAAUUCCAUUUUGGUAAACCAUAAUGAAUUGUAGUACAUGAAGAAUAAUAGUAUGAGGUAGAAACAUGCUCCACUUACUCUGAUUUUUGAUAUAGUUUUCAGGAAAAAAAUGGACAUAAUCAAGUAUGGACAUAUGAGAUAAAAAAUUAUCCCCCCAUGCGACAGUUUUCAUUUACUUUAAAAACUGACUGAUAGAUAUUUAUAGCAUGAGUAAAGUUUAAAGAAUGUGAAAUACACCAUCAAGCUCUUAAAAUAAUAUACAUGCAUUUAAUAUUUCCUUUGAUAUUAUACAUGAGAACAGUAUUUUCAAGUAUAUUAAGUUGGAGUAAAACCAAGGAAGCUGGAACGGUUCAUUUGACAAUAUCUUCCUGCGUACUGUACACUUAAGCGUAACCUCAUUACUUUUAAAAUAAUGAUUUCAAUUCUUCAUUCUGUUAUUUCAUGCUAAUUUAAUUUUUGCUAAUUAACUGAAACAUGCUUUCCAGAUUCACCCUGUUCCAGUUUCUAUGAGAGAUACACUUUGAAGUCUAUAAAAAUAAAAGAAGAAUUAUAAAUAUCAUUGUACAUAGCAUGUUUAUUUCCAUGGUAAACCUAAUAGCUGUUUAAUCUGGAAUAUGCAACAUUGUCCUUAAUUGAUACAAAUAAACACAAGUUUUCAGAGAAAUCUACUACAUUAUUUUAUGAAAUACAUUAUUUCUUCACAUUUGUCUCUCUCAAGCUCUGUUUUCGUAGGCAAUUUCUGAUUUUUAAAAAAUUAUUUAGUGGAGAAAACUGCCAAAACUCUGUAUUAAACAUAAAGAAAAUACACAAAAAGAAAAUCAAUCAUAGUCACCUAAAAAGUUCUGACUGCUAGCUACUAUAACUCUCUUAGUGAAAAUAUUCCUAUGGGAUAAUCUAUUUUAAGUGAAUUUGGGGGCACAGGUUUUUGUGGCAAUUUGAAGUUGCUACAGUAUUUUGUCAAAAAGUGCUUUCUGCCUUUAAGUGUGCAAGGUUACAGUAGUGAAGCGUUUUUAUCAAAAUGUGAGUUACUACAUGAAAACUGAAAUAUAUAUUAGAUAUCCUUUCUUAGAAAAAUAAGUUUUUUUCAAAGCAACAAUACAGAUUGCCUCCAUUUGAGAGAAUAAAGCUAUUCCAUUUUUAAGAAAAUGUUGUUAAAAUUUACCACCACAUCUUUAUGUUUAUGGAUUUGUAUACAACCCCAUUUUGCCUUACAAGUGAUAUUUGCUGAUAUUACACAGUCUUUCUGUUCUUGGUGACUCCUUCAUAGCACUGUUUAGCCCCUCCCUCUAAAAGCCUUCUCGAUUGUUUUCCUUUAAGUGAAUGAAAGUGAGUGUUUUGUUCUUUUGUGUUCCUACAGAUUUUUGUUACCAGUCUUUUGAUAAGAAAUAGUACUUCCCAACUCAUAUUACAAAAAUAAAAUGAAA